CACGCAGUAAACGAUGCACACUAGGUGGUGGGCGGUAGCGCUCAGUACCGUAGCGAACGCGUUAAGUGUGCCGCCUGGGGAGUAUGCUCGCAAGGGUGAAACUCAAAGGAAUUGACGGGGGCCCGCACAAGCGGUGGAGCAUGUGGUUUAAUUCGAUGGUACGCGAGGAACCUUACCCGGGUUUGACAUGGGCCGGAAGGGGCGCGAAAGCGUCCUGCCCCUCGGGGCCGGUCCACAGGUGC
rnacentral:rRNA from 1 species